rnacentral:rRNA from 1 species
UACGUAGGGGGCGAGCGUUGUCCGGAGUUACUGGGCGUAAAGCGCACGCAGGCGGUGCUGCGCGUUUGGGGUUACAGCUCCCGGCUCAACCGGGAGAGCGCCUCGAAGACGGCAGCACUUGAGGGCCAGAGAGGGACACGGAACUCCGGGUGGAGUGGUGAAAUGCGUAGAUAUCCGGAGGAACACCGAAGGCGAAGGCAGUGUCCUGGCGAGUGACUGACGCUGAGGUGCGAAAGCCAGGGGAGCGAACGGG